GUGGGUAGUUUGACUGGGGCGGUCUCCUCCUAAAGAGUAACGGAGGAGCACGAAGGUUGGCUAAUCCUGGUCGGACAUCAGGAGGUUAGUGCAAUGGCAUAAGCCAGCUUGACUGCGAGCGUGACGGCGCGAGCAGGUGCGAAAGCAGGUCAUAGUGAUCCGGUGGUUCUGAAUGGAAGGGCCAUCGCUCAACGGAUAAAAGGUACUCCGGGGAUAACAGGCUGAUACCGCCCAAGAGUUCAUAUCGACGGCGGUGUUUGGCACCUCGAUGUCGGCUCAUCACAUCCUGGGGCUGAAGUAGGUCCCAAGGGUAUGGCUGUUCGCCAUUUAAAGUGGUACGCGAGCUGGGUUUAGAACGUCGUGAGACAGUUCGGUCCCUAUCUGCCGUGGGCGCUGGAGAACUGAGGGGGGCUGCUCCUAGUACGAGAGGACCGGAGUGGACGCAUCACUGGUGUUCGGGUUGUCAUGCCAAUGGCACUGCCCGGUAGCUAAAUGCGGAAGAGAUAAGUGCUGAAAGCAUCUAAGCACGAAACUUGCCCCGAGAUGAGUUCUCCCUGAGACUUUAGGUCUCCUGAAGGAACGUUGAAGACGACGACGUUGAUAGGCCGGGUGUGUAAGCGC
rnacentral:rRNA from 2 species